rnacentral:rRNA from 1 species
GACAGAGGGUGCAAGCGUUGUUCGGAAUUACUGGGCGUAAAGGGCGUGUAGGCGGUUUAGUCUGUCUGAUGUGAAAUACCCAAGCUCAACUUGGGAACUGCAUUGGAUACUGCUAAACUAGAGUGCUAGAGAGGAAAGCGGAAUUCCUAGUGUAGAGGUGAAAUUCGUAGAUACUAGGAGGAACAUCUGAGGCGAAGGCGGCUUUCUGGAUAGUUACUGACGCUGAGGCGCGAAAGCGUGGGGAGCAAACAGG